UUUGCCCUCCCGGAUCCGGGGGCGGAGCCGAAGCGCGCACUGCGCCUGCGUCUUCCGCCCGGCCCCGCCCCAGCGGCCGUGCCUCCGGCGCUCCGUCCUCCCGCCCGGCCAGGGACGAGGCGGGGCGGGUACGCGGACACUGCGCCUGCCCGCGUAGGCCCCGCCCCCGAUCGGCCCCGCCCCCGGCCGGCCCCGCCCCGCGCCGCGCGAGGCCCUGGGAGGGGCGCAGCGUCCGGCGGCGUCGCUGGCGGCGGGCGGCGGGGCCGCGGGAGGGGCGCGGGGGCAGACAAAGCCGCGGUAAUGAAUGGAGCGUCCGCCCGCGCCGCCGUCGUCCGCAGCCGGCCGGGAGCCGCCCCAGAGGCCGGGCCGAGGAUUCACAUAUCAAGUCCAAGGAUGCAGAGUGAAUGCGAGAGGCCAGAAGCCAGGGCACCACCCACACAUCUGCUACAGCUGUUGACAUCUGACAGCACGGCCUGAGGCACGAGGACUCAUUAGAGAUGGAGGGACAGCUCAGUGACCAAGUGGUGAGGUUAACGGGAUGAUGCAACAAUGCUAAACAUAAAUGCACCAAAGAACACAACUCCAAAAUGUGACUGGAAUAGAAAGAACUAAGAGGAGAAAUAGACAAUCACAGUGAGAGAUCCGAACACUUGCCUCAGCAGCAAAUAAAGUGAGUGUUGUUCCAGAAUGUGUCCUGACUGACCACUCCCUCUGGCCCCAGUGGCCAUCCUGCCGGAUGGCCGUCUCCUCCCUGGUUGAGCAGCCUUGAGCAAGGGUAGCAGUGGGCAGAGUGUGGAGGCCAGAGGCCUCUCACGUCCACCCACCCCAAAGGCACUGCCCUGGGGGACAGCUGAGUGAGGAGAGAGGGAGACCCUUGAGGCAGGGAGGGGAGAGUUGGAGGGAGUCACGUGUGGGAGUGAUGCCCAGGAGGAGGAGGAGCAGGAGCAUUGUCGCUGGGGGCAGACACAGACAAGACAGGCUGAUGGAGGGAGAGGGGAGGCUCUGAGCCCCAGGUGACACCGUGCUGUACACAUUGCUUUACAGCCUAUCUUUCUAUGUUAGUAAACCCACUUCAUCAUUUUAUAGGGCUCUGUGGCUGUAUUCAGUAUUUUAUCACCAUAAAAAUUCUCAUUGGAGCUUCUGAGUUGAGAGGCAGAGGCGUUUGCAGGGGUGAGUCUUCCCAUCCUCCUGCUCUGACAUCCACUCGCUUCAUUCUAGUCCUUGUUUCUCGUUAGGGUCCUUUGUAGGGAUUUUGUAAUUUUGGUUGGGUUUGUG
rnacentral:lncRNA from 1 species